CCCGGAGCCCCCGGAGCCCCUUUUCCAACUCGGCCCGCCCUCCCGAUCUCGGAUUGGCUGCAUCUCCCGGCGCCCUGUUAUCCGAUUGGCGGGGCCCGGGGCAGAGCGGGCGCGGGAUCCGCUGAGGCGGCUGGCGGCGGCCGUGGCCGUUUCAGUGAUGGAAACCCCCACUCACAGCACCGUGCACCUGAGCGACUGGCAGAAAAGUUACUUCGCUAUUACCUCUGGCACCUGCACACCUGCACAGAAGGCAGAUGAAUACCGUGCCAAAAUCCUGCAUAUUCAGUAUGCAUGGGCAAACUCCGAGAUCUCUCAGGUCUGUGCUGCCAACCUGUUUAAAAAAUAUGCAGAGAAAUACUCUGCAAUUAUUGACUCUGACAACAUAGAGACUGGCUUGAAUAACUAUGCUGAAAACAUUUUGACUUUGGCAAAGUGUCAGCAAAAUGACAGUGACAAGUGGCAAUCUGCCUUGACAACAGAUAAUGUAUUUGAAUUAAAGUGUGUGCAAGAGAGGAUGCAGGCUGGCAAAAAUUUCCAAAGCUCUCAGAUGGCACCGACAGAUGCCUGUGUACUAGCUGAUAAAGGGGUCAGUGCCUCUGCUGCUCCAGGUCUUCCUAAACUCGGUAUCUUCAGCAGUGCCAGAGAGACUGAGCUCUGUGCUGGCUCAGCAAAAUGUGCAAGUCGGGGGCCAGAGCUCCUUGAGAAUCCCUCAUCUUCAAAGUCUCUUCAAAGCAGCGUGCCUCUUGUGACCAAAGCUUUGGAUACACUUCCUGCCUCUUCAGCUUCCUUAAAUGAACAGGUUCCUACAGGUUUCCAGGCAACCCCUCUAUUUGCAAGUAAAGAAGUGGCAAGUAGUAGUUCUCUGAAAAUGUCAGGUAACUGUCGCGAUGGACAAAAUUUGUCUCUUUCGAAUCAGUCAGCUGUACCUGCAUGGUCCACAAGUUCUGGAAAAAGAAAAGCGUUUUAUGGUCUGGCUGAUGAAGGCAGCACGGUGAUUCCUAGCCUUGCCCCAUGCCAGGCUUCCAUUAGUACAGAAACCAGUAGUUUUUCAGGGUAUAGAAACAGAAAUGAAGAGAGCGGUGUUCCUGGUUUUAGAACUGCAAAAGAACAGCUGUGGGUGGAUCAGCAAAGGAAAUCUCAAAACCUACCCCAGCGUGCACCAGUCUCGUCAUAUGGAGGUGUAAAAAAAUCACUGGGUGCAGGCAGAUCUCGGGGUCCGUUUGGCAAAUUUGUUCCUCCAGUUCCAAAACAAGAUGGAAACGAAAACGGAGGAGCACAGUGUAAGCCUCGUGCAAGAGGACCAACAGAUCCAUCGCUGCCUGUAGAUGAACGACUGAAAAACAUAGAACCAAAAAUGGUUGAACUCAUUAUGCACGAGAUCAUGGACCAUGGGCCUCCUGUCAGCUGGGAUGACAUUGCCGGAGUUGAAUUUGCUAAAGCCACUAUAAAAGAAAUAGUAGUCUGGCCUAUGCUGAGGCCAGACAUCUUCACUGGGUUACGUGGUCCUCCUAAAGGAAUUCUUCUCUUUGGCCCCCCUGGGACUGGCAAGACUCUUAUAGGCAAGUGCAUCGCAUGCCAGUCUGGAGCAACUUUUUUUAGCAUCAGUGCCUCUUCUCUGACUUCCAAAUGGGUAGGCGAGGGGGAAAAGAUGGUCCGUGCGCUGUUCACUGUGGCGCGAUGUCAACAGCCAGCAGUGAUUUUCAUUGAUGAAAUUGAUUCUCUGUUGUCUCAGCGUGGAGAUGGGGAGCACGAGUCGUCGAGAAGGAUAAAAACUGAAUUUCUGGUCCAGUUAGAUGGGGCAACAACCUCCUCUGAAGAUCGUAUUCUAGUGGUUGGAGCAACAAAUCGACCCCAAGAAAUCGAUGAAGCUGCCCGAAGGAGACUAGUGAAGAGACUGUACAUUCCUCUUCCAGAAGCCUCAGCUAGGAAGCAGAUUGUCACCCGUCUAAUGUCAAAGGAGCACUGCUCCCUAAAUGAAGAGGAAAUCGAACUCAUAGUUAAGAAAUCGAGUGGAUUUUCAGGGGCAGACAUGACACAGCUCUGUCGAGAAGCUUCUCUGGGCCCUAUCCGCAGUCUUCAGUCCACGGACAUUGCAACCAUCAUGCCAGACCAAGUACGGCCUAUUGCUUUCCUGGACUUUGAGAGUGCCUUCAGAACCGUGCGGCCCAGCGUCUCCUCGAAGGACCUAGAGCUGUAUGAAACCUGGAACCAGACAUUUGGCUGCGGUAGAUAAUUGUAUCCUAACUGUUCCGCAGAAAUAUUUCUUUAGCACCAUCACGUAUUAAACCCACAAUAAUUUAGAGUGUCUGCACUUCUUUUUGUUUCUGUCUUUGAAAUCUUCUUACUUUAUGCCAGCAGAUGUCUAGGCCCUGGCCUGAGGCUUCGCCAACUGAAAAGACCGUGAGAAACUGCUGGUCACGAUACAAGAAACUGCUGAACACAAGCAAUGGAGUGAGAAGCUGACAAAAAUUACAGAUAGCUGCUGUGAAAGGUGGACGAAUUUCACUGAUGUUUAAGGGGAAGAUGGUCAAACCUCACAUAUAAUUGAAGGGAGUAUUGGGGGCAAUCUCGCAAGGCCCACCGCUGUCCUGUGUCAGUAAUGCCAUGCAAGGCUGAGCGGACCCAGGUCUGAAAGAAGCACACAGCCUUUUCUUCACAUUACCUGUCCUCGCCCACUGGCUGGAGAGAGCUGCCCCUGAAUGGAAAACAAGAGCUUUCCUUUGGAUUCUUUCGUUGAUGUGGCAGAGCUGGCUGCUGUGGUGUCCAUGCUUUAUUUUCUGUUUCUGUAAAGCACUUUUUCUCCUAUUGGGGAAAAUGCAGAGCUUAAAAGCUGGUCUUACUUAGGUUUUCUAAAAAUGGAUAAAUGCUCUUUAGCUAGCAUUUUUUUAAAGCCAUUUGGGAACUACAGGGACUCUGAGGCGAUAGUGAACCUUGAAUUCAGAAUAAUUGGGAAGGCUUGGCAUUUCUUAGAGCUCAUCCUGAUUUAAACAUAAAAAAGUCAGUUCUAUUCUUGGCUUAUGUUUUUUGUAAAGUCUGGUAUGCAUUAGACAUUGUUUUGCAGAGAUGUAAAAAUUCAGGUAUGCGAAUUUAUCUUAAUUUCUGAAAUAGUGAAAGUAGAAUAAUUAGAUUAUUUUGUAAGAAUAAAUGUGUGGUGUGGUCCAAACUGAUUGACUUUUGUGCCACUUGGGUAAAGAUUAUGAGAUUAAAUCUGCUCUUACAAGUUUAGUAUUGGAGAGCUAUAAACAUGUACUGGGUAAGAUUUUUGCUCUCUCCAAACAUCUCUCCAACUGUAAUGAAAACAUGUUCUUUAAAAUUUUUUCUCAGGCAAGUGAAUGAAAAGCACAGAGAAUUUUAGUUGUUUAGUAAAACCUAAGGGUUCUUCCAAGGGUAAUAAAACCCUUAUGUAUGAUUAAAUAAUAGCCUUAUUUAUGCUGGGAAUUAUUCUGGUAUGCUAUGUGAGCAUACUGUGCUCAUCUAUGUAUCUGAAUAUUCAUAUUUUAAUGGAAAUGGCUCUACUGAAAGGACCAGUGAGAAUGCACAUGAUGAUAGAGAAUAAAACACCUCCUAAGAUGACAAGGACUGGGAGAGGAAUGCUGUGCCACUGUAUUUGUCUCCUGCAAAGUGGAACUUGGGAGAGAGAAAAAGUAGAGACAUAGCACCAGGCAGGAGUAUCCGUUACUCAUUACUUGAAUUACACGAACAUGCUUUUGUUUUAGAAAACAUAUGGAAACAGUGAAAGGGAACGCUAGGUAAAGCUUAUUCUUUUUCUUUUUUAGUAAUGAUGCAGGUAAUAUGACUAUCUCUUCAGCCAUCCAGCAAUAUUCAGGCUUUGCUGCAGGACUCACAAGUCAUCAGGACUUCCAAUAUUAGCCCAAUACGUAUUUCAUAACCCACUCUAACAGUGCCACCGAACAAGAGAUUAGAUCACCAGUAGCAUAAUUUCACAAAAUAUAGAAAAUUGCACAAAAGUAGGGCAUGAUUGUAAUUUAAGGGAAAUGGUGCAGAUAAAUCCACUUUAAUGGUUCUGUUUAGUGUAUGCAUAAACCUAUGUACUUCAUUAUUUAUUCUUUUUGGCUGGCUGAACUUUGUAAGAAGAAAUACAGGACUGUCCUCUGGUUUUGUGGUUCAGUCACAUUUGGUGCGCAAUCUCUUAGUUUCUCUUAAAUAAAGGUAAAUAAUUGCAGUCCUGGAAAAGUGAGGUCUUAUUAAUAAUCAAGACAAUUCAGACUCUUCAUUUUCUCAGUGCAUCUUGUAUUUGAGUUAGCUAAACUGUCUUAGAGCAGUUUGAAAUCCCCAGAUGAAUUUUCAUUUAUAGAAAAUUGUGGCAACAGAAGUAGGUAAAAAGCUGAUGAAGCAGCAGCAAUGAUCAUCAUCUGCUAAUGGCAAGUGGAUGAAAACCAGACUGGACUCUUAAGAACAUCGUUAAGAUUGUCUGUUGAAAUAAGGCAAUUUCUGGUUUUCUUAUAGAAAUUAUGGAACUACUCCCAAGCCAACAUGUAAUUGGAAAAAAACGCACCAAAAAACCAAACAAAACCCCACUUUUCCCAUUAAAGUUAUAAUUUUGGUGGCAGUGAGGGAUUGGUCUUGGUGAGCACUGACAUUUACUAAGACUUAGAAGAUGCUUUGAACGGUAGAUAUACAAACGCUUGCGCUUGUCUUCAAACACAUGAGUGCGUAUUCCUUUGAAAUUUAAAUGAAAGGUUGGGCUUGGGAGAGUUUUGAAAGAAGGCUCACGAGUAGUUUUCUUGCCUAAUGAGAUACUCUGGUAGGUUAACCCUGGCUCACGGCCAGGUGCCCACCCAGCCCCUCACUCGCUCCCCUUCCUCAGUGGGACGGGGGACAGAAAAUAGGAUGAGGGAGCUUGUGGGCCGAGAUAAAGGCAGGGAGAUCUCUCACCGGUUGCCAUUGUGGGCAAAAGUGACUCGGCUUGGGGAAUUUUAACUUAUCGCCAACUAAAAUAGAUUUGGGUAGUGAGAAGCAAAAAAAGACAAACGUUGAAACGCCGCCUUUCCUCCUUGCUGUCCCAGACUCGACUUCGCUCCCAGCUCUCCUACCCUGCCGCCGCAGGGCGCGGAGGUGGGAGGUUGUGGUCAGUACGUAGCAGUUUCUCGCUGCAGCUCCUUCCCCCUGGUGUUUUCCUCUGCUCUGGCGUGGGUGCUCCGUGGACCACAGUUUCUUCAGGAGUAUCCAUCUGCUCCAGCAUGGGCUGUCUGACGGGCUGCAGUGUGGGUAUCUGCUCCAGCGUGGGUCCGUUGUAACCGGCUGUGUCCUGCACGGGGCAGCCCUUGGCCUCUUCCCACGGAAGCCUAAGAGUGCCUCUCCACUGGAGUUGAGUUAGUUUGUAGGCUUCAUGGGUAGGGUGGCAUCUUGUGUUCUGUCGUACUUCUGAACAUACCACACUUUCCUUUGGCUACCGGUCUAUGCAGCAUAAUCAAACAUCCAAGCUAGAAAUACAGCUGGGCUGUUCUCAGGCUUUUCCCCACAGCCAUGUCAGACAAGCUUCCAGGAGCCGAGGCUUUCCUUAAAUUGUGCCAAUGAUAGAAAAUUCCAGUUUCAGAUUAGCUUGCCUGCUUUUGGAACUGAAUACUUCAAUCUGAAAUUCUCACUGGGCUUUGUAAAGUGGAAACGCCUGGGCACAUGAAACUAAAUGAGGGGUCUGCUAAUGCAUUGCUUUGAAAGACCAUCUAGAAUGGCUGUGUAUUUACAGUCGGGAAGAAAAAGUAAUGCUGGCUUUUUUUUUUUUAGAAGUAGAUCACAAAAUUCCAGGCAGUGGCUUGUGAAAAUUCCUACCCAGUUCUUACAGGUUUCGAGUUCUGUACUGUGGAUUAAAAUGUAAUGAGAGAUGAAAUUGCCUAGGCUUCUGCUUUUAAAUUUAGAGUAGCUUCUAUGUUUUUUUUUACUCCAUUUACUCGUAUUAGUAAAACUGUCUUUUGAUAACUUUUUACCUACAGCAAGAGGAAAGGGUGUCUCUGUCAGUUGGGAUGGUCCUUCUACCUAAACCUGUUACACAGAAUCAUUUCGAUUAAUAGGCCUCACCAGUUAGAAAUAUCACUUAGUGGUAGUGAAGACCUACAAGUCUGUUUUCUCCUUUUCCAAAUAAGUAAUUUUAUUUUGUGCCAGUUACAACUAGUGACUGCUUAUCCCUGCAGAUCUGAUGUAACCAAUGAAAUUUCUUACAAGAGUUGUCGUGAAAUAGCUUGUGCUCAUAUACUUCAUUCAAUAUUCUGAAGAAGGAGAACUUUGGCCUUCAUUAUUAUUUCACCUAUGGAUUUUUUUUUUUUCCAAAUAUGAAAAGAAAUAAGAAGAGGUGUGAGAUACUGACAUAGGGAGCUUGAAUGCUCUUGAUAUAGUGUACUUCUUGCAUACCAAUUAUUUGCACUAUAGAAUGGAUAUAGAUUGUUAUAGCAAAAGAUAUAGCCAUGUAAGUAGAAUUAUAGAGACUCCUGAUUUUUCUUAAAUUAUGGAGAAUUUUUUUCCAGAGGGGGCAUGGACUCUGGAAGCUGGUUUCUGCAAGCUAUUCUGGUGCCAGCUACCACUAGAAAAAAGGGAGAAAAUUCAAAAAGAAUCAACAGAGAAAAUUGAAAGGUGUUGUGGGGAUAUUGAUUACAUGUAAAGAUGCAAAUAAACAUGUAUACUUUGAAGUCA